rnacentral:rRNA from 1 species
GCAAGUCGAGGGGCAUUCCGAGGUAGAAAUACUUUGGUGGCGACCGGCGCAAGGGUGCGUAACGCGUAUUUACCCUACCUAUAACAGGGGCAUAACACUGAGAAAUUGGUACUAAUUCCCCAUAAUAUUCGGAGAGGCAUCUCUCCGGGUUGAAAACUCCGGUGGUUAUAGAUGGACAUGCGUUGUAUUAGCUAGUUGGUGAGGUAACGGCUCACCAAGGCAACGAUACAUAGGGGGACUGAGAGGUUAACC